CGGGAAAAGCUCAAAUUUUAAAUCUGGUGGUCUCUGGCCAUCCGAGUUGUAAUUUAGAGAAGUGUUACCCGCGUCGGACCGUGUAUAAGUCUCCUGGAAUGGAGCGUCAUAGAGGGUGAGAAUCCCGUCUUUGACACGGACUACCGAGGCUUUGUGGUAUGCUCUCAAA
rnacentral:rRNA from 1 species